GCGCUAAUAGCUCAGUUGGGAGAGCGUCAGACUGAAGUCCAAUAAUCCGGGGUAAUCUGAAGGUCACCCGUUCAAUCCGGGUUUGGCGCA